AGUCGAGGGGUAUAGGUUUUCGGACCUAGAGACCGGCGCACGGGUGCGUAACGCGUAUGCAAUCUACCUUUUACAGAGGGAUAGCCCAGAGAAAUUUGGAUUAAUACCUCAUAGUAUUAUUGAAUGGCAUCAUUUAAUAAUUAAAGUCACAACGGUAAAAGAUGAGCAUGCGUCCCAUUAGCUUGUUGGUAAGGUAACGGCUUACCAAGGCAACGAUGGGUAGGGGUCCUGAGAGGGAGAUCCCCCACACUGGUACUGAGACACGGACCAGACUCCUACGGGAGGCAGCAGUGAGGAAUAUUGGUCAAUGGGCGCAAGCCUGAACCAGCCAUGCCGCGUGCAGGAUGAAGCAUCUAUGGUGUGUAAACUGCUUUUGUACGAGAAGAAACACUCCUUCGUGAAGGAGCUUGACGGUAUCGUAAGAAUAAGGACCGGCUAACUCCGUGCCAGCAGCCGCGGUAAUACGGAGGGUCCAAGCGUUAUCCGGAAUCAUUGGGUUUAAAGGGUCCGUAGGCGGUUUUGUAAGUCAGUGGUGAAAGCCCAUCGCUCAACGGUGGAACGGCCAUUGAUACUGCAAGACUUGAAUUACUAGGAAGUAACUAGAAUAUGUAGUGUAGCGGUGAAAUGCUUAGAUAUUACAUGGAAUACCAAUUGCGAAGGCAGGUUACUACUAGUGGAUUGACGCUGAUGGACGAAAGCGUGGGGAGCGAACAGGAUUAGAUACCCUGGUAGUCCACGCCGUAAACGAUGGAUACUAGCUGUUCGGGAGCAUCUGAGUGGCUAAGCGAAAGUGAUAAGUAUCCCACCUGGGGAGUACGUUUCGCAGAAUGAAACUCAAAGGAAUUGACGGGGGCCCGCACAAG
rnacentral:rRNA from 1 species